GACCAGCCACACUGGAACUGAGACACGGUCCAGACUCCUACGGGAGGCAGCAGUGGGGAAUAUUGCACAAUGGGGGCAAGCCUGAUGCAGCCAUGCCGCGUGUAUGAAGAAGGCCUUCGGGUUGUAAAGUACUUUCAGCGGGGAGGAAGGGAGUAAAGUUAAUACCUUACUCAUGACGUACUACCUGCAGAAGAAGCACCGGCUAACUCCGUG
rnacentral:rRNA from 1 species